rnacentral:ncRNA from 1 species
GUGUUCGUAGAAAGGAGAGACGGUUGGCAUCUCCCCUGACAGGGACGGGAUUAGUCUUCGGACUUUCCUCUAGCACAUUGCUGCGGUUAAGGCUACCCGCUUCGGCGGAUCUUACCCAAAUUUUUU